UCCUUGGCUAACAUCAUGUAAAUGUAGCAUUAAUCUCAGCUGGUAAUUAUGAGUAUGUAUCCAAAAGCCUCAAGUUACCAGGUGAGAUUUAAGCUAUGUUCUACUAACCAACUUACUGUACA
rnacentral:pre_miRNA from 9 species